CCAAAGAGCCCAAAAUGGAGUUAACCCAUAUUCAGUGAAAGCAGGUGCUCCAAUUAGCAAAUAUUCAGGUUAUCCAGGUACAACUACCAAAGCUGGGCCUGGAAUAUCAGACACUGCCCUGGCUCACAUUCUCAGACCUCUCUCACCGAUGUGUGUGCCGGAAGGUAAGUGACCUUUUGGAUAGUAAAUAUCCUCUCUACUCUUGUAACAAGCCUGAUUGGGCUGGUGAGCAAAAUAAUGUCCACCAUUGACUACUCUAUAUCCUAACAGGGUUCAGACUUCAAUUAAUGUUUUUUUUUCUCUAGCACAGGGUUUACAUUUAGUUAACAAUUGAUUAAGACUCUCCUGAAUUGUGUUCAGAUGAUGGUGAAUCGGACUCUGUUGGGAUCACAUGUCCACCCCUGGGACUUCUACGUUUGUUGACUCUUCCCCUGGACAUUUUAAGGCUUUUUUUAGGCUAUUUUGCCAGAAAAAAAGGAUGCAGUGGAGCAUAGCAUAUUUAGAAAAAAUAAAUAAACUCAAGCAUCUUGUGCUUAUAAUACUUCUUAUAAAAUCCAAUGAGACAAAGUUUGCUUAUGCCUGUUAUUUAUUCAUUGUAACUACAGUAGAUGUUAAACCAGCAC